rnacentral:rRNA from 1 species
UACGAAGGGGGCUAGCGUUGCUCGGAAUUACUGGGCGUAAAGGGAGCGUAGGCGGGUUAUCAAGUUGGAGGUGAAAGCCCAGGGCUCAACCUUGGAAUUGCCUUCAAAACUGAUAGCCUAGAGUAUGAUAGAGGUAUGUGGAACUCCGAGUGUAGAGGUGAAAUUCGUAGAUAUUCGGAAGAACACCAGUGGCGAAGGCGACAUACUGGGUCAUGACUGACGCUGAGGCUCGGAAAGCGUGGGGAGCAAACAGG